UGAUGAUAUUUCUCCUAUGAAUACCCAGA
rnacentral:piRNA from 1 species